CCUACGGGUGGCAGCAGUGGGGAAUAUUGCUCAAUGGGCGAAACCCUGAAGCAGCAACGCAGCGUGAAGGAUGAAGGUUUUAUGAUUGUAAACUCCUUUUGUUCAAGAAGAUAAUGACGCUAUCUCCCGAAUCUUCCCCGUAUAACUCCGUGCCACCAGCCGCGGUACGACGGAGGGUGCAAGCGUUACUCGGAAGUACUGUGCGUAAAGCGUGCGCAUGCGGGCUUGUAAGUCAGCUGUGAGAUCCUGUAGCUUAACUCCAGAACUGCAGUUGAAACUAGGAGUCUGGAGUGUGGGAGAGGUAGGUGGAAUGCGUGGUGUAGGGGUAAAAGCCGUAGAUAUCAAGAGGAACACUGAUUGCGAAGGCGACCUACUGGAACAUAACUGACGCUCAUGCACGAAAGCGUGGGGAGCAAACAGGAUUAGAUACCCUUGUAGUC
rnacentral:rRNA from 1 species